rnacentral:misc_RNA from 1 species
UUUCCGUAGGUGAACCUGCGGAAGGAUCAUUAAAAAAUGAGACCUGAUUUUCAAGGUCUGUUAAUAAUCCUACCCUUUGUGAAUUUGUUUUGUUUUAAUAUGUGUCUUUCCCUGGUUUUUGAUGGAGCUUGUUUAAAGCAAAAUCAAUCCAGGGGAAUGGCAAAACUUUUUUUUAAAUUAAACUUUUUGUAUUCAUUUGUCUAAAAUUAUUUUUAUAAUAUAAAAACAACUUUUGACAAUGGAUCUCUUGGUUCUCGCAACGAUGAAGAACGCAGCAAAAUGCGAUAGUAGUGUGAAUUGCAGAAUACGUGAAUCAUCGAAUCUUCGAACGCAUAUUGCACUUUUUUAGUUUACAAAAAAGUAUGUCUGUUUGAGUAUCAGUAAAAUAUUCUCAUAAAAACUAUUGUUUUUAUGGUUAUGAGUGUUUUACAACGAUAACAAGUUGUUUCACUUUAAAUUCUUUGUCUUCUAAAAAAUCAUUAAAAACUGAUUUUUUUUUAAAAUUGGAUAAAAUUUUCCCGUAAAAAGGAAUAACCUAAACAAUUUUAAUUAAAUUGGUUUGAUUUCUUUUAAGACUUAAAGGAAAAAAGUAAAAAUUAACUUGAUCUCAAAUCAGAUAAGAGUACCCGCUGAACUUAAGCAUAUCAAUAAGCGGAGGAAAGAAACUAACUAGGAUUCCCUCAGUAACGGCGAGUGAAGCGGGAAGAGCUCAAAUUUGAAAUCUUCAAGGUUCUACCUUGACGAAUUGUAGUUUAAAGAAGUGUUUUCUGUUGGAGUUUUGGUAAAAGUUCUUUGGAAUAGGACAUCAUAGAGGGUGAGAAUCCCGUAUUUGACCAUUAUUUCCAACUUUGUGAUACACUUUCAAAGAGUCGGAUUGUUUGGGAUGCAGUCCAAAAUGGGUGGUAAAUUUCAUCUAAAGCUAAAUACUGGCGAGAGACCGAUAGCGAACAAGUACCGUGAGGGAAAGAUGAAAAGACUUUGAGAAGAGAGUUAAACAGUACGUGAAAUUGUCAAAAGGGAAGCGUUUGACACCAGUGUUGUUUUCUCGAAAAUCAAUUAAAAAUGAUGGGAUUUUGUGUUGUAUUGACUUUAUCAGCUUUCUGCACUUUUUUCCUGUCUUUUUUAAUGCACUUUUCGUUUAACAAGUCAACAUCAAUUUCUUUUGCUGUAAAAGAGUCAUUGGAAGGUGGCUUUCUUUCGGAGAAAGUGUUUAUAGCCUUUGACUUCUGCAAUCGGAGAGAUUGAGGUCUGCAGCGUAGAUCCUUCGGGGUUAGAUACAUUUGUGCUAAGCUAUAGUCUUUAUAGACAACUUGUUGACUAUAAUCAAUCAUGUAGCUUACUCGCUUAUGCUAUCUUACCUACGCUUAGGAUGUUG